rnacentral:tRNA from 1 species
CCUGCACCAGGGCGGCGUCUGACCGGCCGCACCCGCCGCGGCGGGCCUGCUGCGGCGGGCCUCGCCGCCGGGUUCCGGGUCUCGGGUGCCGGGCC